rnacentral:snRNA from 14 species
UGCUGGUCUUCAACAGCACAUAUACUAAAUUGGAAUGAUAUAGUGAAGAUUAUCAGGCUCCUGCCCAAGGAGUGUAUUUUUAAGGAGAACAGGGAGAAGUCUGU